rnacentral:piRNA from 1 species
UGCUUCCAGUUUCCUGGGACUCUUGUGUC